AUUGAACGCUGGCGGCAGGCCUAACACAUGCAAGUCGAACGGUAGCACAGAGAGCUUGCUCUCGGGUGACGAGUGGCGGACGGGUGAGUAAUGUCUGGGAAACUGCCCGAUGGAGGGGGAUAACUACUGGAAACGGUAGCUAAUACCGCAUAACGUCGCAAGACCAAAGUGGGGGACCUUCGGGCCUCACACCAUCGGAUGUGCCCAGAUGGGAUUAGCUAGUAGGUGGGGUAAUGGCUCACCUAGGCGACGAUCCCUAGCUGGUCGGAGAGGAUGACCAGCCACACUGGAACUGAGACACGGUCCAGACUCCUACGGGAGGCAGCAGUGGGGAACAUUGCACAAUGGGCGCAAGCCUGAUGCAGCCAUGCCGCGUGUAUGAAGAAGGCCUUCGGGUUGUAAAGUACUUUCAGCGGGGAGGAAGGCGGUGAAGUUAAUAACUUCACCGAUUGACGUUACCCGCAGAAGAAGCACCGGCUAACUCCGUGCCAGCCGCCGCUGUAA
rnacentral:rRNA from 1 species